rnacentral:lncRNA from 1 species
GCCGGAUGAGCUGCUGCGGCCCUCGGGGCGCAGGACCACACCAUCUGCGCAGCCUGCACCCUCGCGGCCCGGUAAACUUGACAGUUUCUUAUAGAGCACAGAAGCCGUGGUGGUGUCAUGGAAUAUUGUCAAUUUCGGUUACAUUUCAUCAUGGUCAAGUCAACUCCAGGAGGCAGCAUCAUGGACGAUUUGGCUUAUGUUCUGCUUUUGUCUUCUACAGAACCUUGUGUCUCACUGUUGUCUCCUUCCUGGCUGGGGUUAUCACAUGGCAUAUCCAACUGUGAGUGUGGGAAGAUGGCAUAAUCCUCUGACUGUGUCAGAGUCUUAGGAAAUUGUGACUGUUAUAAGAUGGCACAAUCUCUUCCCUGAUGUGUGUCAAGUUCUUAGAAAAUUGUGGUGAGCUAUUCCUUUUUCUUUUGGCAGGUUUUUGUCUUGGUGUUUACCAAGUGAUCCGAGAUAGAGAGAGGGAAAGAGGAGAGAGAGAGAGGGAGAGAAG